ACACGUGUUCAGAGUUUGAUCCUGGCUCAGAGUGAACGCUGGCGGCAGGCCUAAUACAUGCAAGUCGAACGGCAGCACAGCAGAGCUUGCUCUGUGGGUGGCGAGUGGCGGACGGGUGAGGAAUACAUGGGAAUCUGCCCAGUCGUGGGGGAUAACGUAUGGAAACGUACGCUAAUACCGCAUGCGCCCUUCGGGGGAAAGCCGGGGACCUUCGGGCCUGGCGCGAUUGGAUGAGCCCAUGUUCGAUUAGCUAGUUGGCGGGGUAAAGGCCCACCAAGGCGACGAUCGAUAGCUGGUCUGAGAGGAUGAUCAGCCACACUGGGACUGAGACACGGCCCAG
rnacentral:rRNA from 1 species